CACGUAGGGUGCGAGCGUUGUUCGGAUUUACUGGGCGUAAAGGGCGCGUAGGCGGUCGUGACAAGUCACUUGUGAAAUCUCCGGGCUUAACUCGGAACGGUCAAGUGAUACUGUCGGACUAGAGUACAGAAGGGGCAACUGGAAUUCUCGGUGUAGCGGUGAAAUGCGUAGAUAUCGAGAGGAACACCUGCGGCGAAGGCGGGUUGCUGGGCUGAUACUGACGCUGAGGCGCGAAAGCCAGGGGAGCGAACGGG
rnacentral:rRNA from 1 species